UACAGAGGGUGCAAGCGUUAAUCGGAAUUACUGGGCGUAAAGCGUGCGUAGACGGUUAUGUAAGUCGGGUGUGAAAGCCCCGGGCUCAACCUGGGAAUUGCAUUCGAGACUGUGUAGCUAGGGUACGGAAGAGGGAAGCGGAAUUUCAGGUGUAGCGGGUGAAAUGCGUAGAUAUCUGAAGGAACACCAGUGGCGAAAGCGGCUUCCUGGUCCAGUACCGACGUUCAGGCACGAAAGCGUGGGGAGCAAACAGG
rnacentral:rRNA from 1 species